CCAUUACUAAAAAAUUCCUUUUCUUUGAAAACUGCACAUGGCGUGAGAAGUUUCGCUCAAUUUACUCCGUACUUACUCAUGCCAAUUUGGGCAAUUUUCAACACAGUUUUUCUACAAAAUCGUUCACAGAGACGAUCUUAAUCGAUUUAUUUCCAUUGUCACUUUCAUUCAACUGCUUGACAUAUAACCUCACCCUUGCCCCGCUGAAUCAGAUUUUUGCGAAAUUCAUUCAUCUUCAGUUGUGUCGUUCUGUGGAAGUGGAAAAGAAAAAGAAAGAAAAAACGACUGACUAAAUUCAAAGAAAAAAGAAAGUGCAAUUCUGAGAAAACGAAACGAAACGUCUUCAAGAAGGAACAACAAGGAUAGUUAUAUUAAGUUUGAUUCGAGUGUGAAGAAAAUAAAUCGAAUUCGCUCUUUUUACACCCCCAACCAACUGAUCCAAGGAAUUUAAUUUACAAAAAAAAAUCAAAAUGAGCGAAGAGACGUCCGCUGAUCGUAAUGUGGAAAUCUGGAAAAUCAAAAAACUCAUCAAGAGUUUGGAAAUGGCCCGAGGCAAUGGCACCAGUAUGAUUUCUCUUAUUAUUCCACCAAAAGAUCAAAUAUCUCGUGUAAGCAAAAUGUUGGCAGAUGAAUUCGGAACGGCGUCAAACAUCAAGUCACGUGUCAAUCGUCUGUCUGUCUUGGGUGCCAUUACAUCUGUGCAGCAUAGACUUAAAUUAUACACCAAAGUGCCUCCAAACGGUUUAGUUAUAUACUGUGGCACAAUUGUCACUGAAGAAGGCAAAGAGAAAAAAGUCAACAUCGAUUUCGAGCCAUUUAAGCCCAUCAAUACAUCGCUCUAUCUGUGCGAUAACAAGUUCCAUACGGAGGCGUUGACCGCCCUCCUAGCGGACGACAAUAAAUUCGGUUUUAUCGUCAUGGAUGGUAAUGGAGCGUUGUUUGGUACACUUCAAGGUAAUACCCGCGAAGUGCUGCACAAGUUUACCGUUGAUCUGCCGAAAAAGCACGGUCGUGGUGGUCAAUCUGCUUUACGUUUUGCCCGUCUGCGUAUGGAAAAGCGUCACAAUUACGUGCGAAAGGUCGCCGAAGUUGCCACACAGUUGUUCAUUACAAAUGAUAAGCCCAAUAUUGCGGGCUUGAUCUUAGCUGGUAGUGCUGAUUUCAAAACUGAACUGAGUCAAUCCGAUAUGUUUGAUCCUAGACUGCAAUCAAAGAUUAUUAAAUUGGUGGACGUUUCCUAUGGAGGCGAAAACGGAUUUAAUCAGGCGAUUGAAUUAGCGGCUGAAUCACUGCAAAAUGUCAAAUUUAUUCAGGAAAAGAAGCUUAUUGGCCGUUACUUUGAUGAAAUUUCUCAGGAUACAGGAAAAUAUUGUUUUGGAGUUGAGGACACAUUAAGAGCAUUGGAACUGGGUUCAGUGGAAACAUUGAUUUGCUGGGAAAACUUGGACAUUCAACGUUACGUGCUAAAGAAUCAUGCGAACUCAACCUCGACCACAGUAUUACAUCUAACACCAGAGCAAGAAAAAGAUAAAUCACAUUUCACUGAUAAGGAAAGCGGGGUCGAAAUGGAAUUAAUCGAGUCUCAGCCCCUUUUGGAAUGGCUUGCGAACAAUUACAAAAUAUUUGGUGCUACUCUUGAGAUCAUUACCGACAAAUCUCAAGAAGGUAGUCAGUUUGUGCGAGGAUUUGGUGGAAUUGGAGGAAUCUUGCGCUACAAAGUAGAUUUCCAAUCGCUUCAAGCCGACGAACCUUUGGAUGAUGUUGACCUUGAUGAUUACUAAAUAAAUUAAAAUCAAAACAAAAUAUAAAUAUGAAAUGAUUAAAAAAGUAAUAAUAAAACACAUAAAUGAUAAAAAUAAGAGAACAAGCUAAAGAAAGUAAAAAUAAAAGGAGAGCAAUGUGUAGCGAGAAACUUCACACAAAGAAUGAACACACGAGAAGAGUCGUCGAAUUUUCUCGGUUUUCUUAUUUUACUAAACAAAAAAAAAAAACAAAACAAAAUAAAUUAAAAUUAAACCUUUUUAAAAAUAAUAAUAAAUUAGAUCGCGUGAAUUUUUAUUGUAAUAUUUAAUUUAAAAAAAAAAAACGAAGAAAACCUGUCGUGCAUAUAAAAACAAAUAAUAGACAUGUAUUCUUAUUAAAAACAAAAUUAUGUUAAAGGCUAACAUUUUCCCAAUUGUAUAAAAAAAAGAAAAACUAAAAUUGCCAUGAAGUUCGAACUCUCACAAUUUUAAUUAAAAUUUAAUACUCCUGAAACAAAAAUAAAUACAAAAAAAUAUGUUAAACCCUUCAUUCUUCUAACUUUAAAGUCACAAUCGCGUCUUUUUGACUAAGGCAUUUUACGUUACAAAGUAGACUUCCAGAGUAUGCAGCUAGAUGAAUUGGACAACGAAUGUUUCGAAUUAGAUGAUUAUUAGAUUUUAUUUGUUUUUCAAUUUCAAUUUUUUUGGUAAAUUCUUACCUCAGAAAAAAAAGAAGAAUUUUUUCUUUGCAGAAUUAAAAACAAAAAACACCGUAAAUUAUAAACUAUAAACACAAAAUUAUAAACUAAAAGCGUCAACAUCAAUAUCAGAAUAAUUAAUUUAAAAGCAAAACAAAAACUGUAUAGAAUAUUAAAUUGCGAAACAAAACAAAAAUCAUAUACACUAUUUACUAAUUAAUUGAUGAAAAUGAUUAAAAAUAUAUAAUUAUGAAAAUGAAUGACGUACAUACGUUUUGAACAAUCUUUUCCAAACCACAAAAACAAGAACACCAAGAAAAAUGGGGAAAACUAAAAAAAGGAAAAUCUGCUGUGUGCCUGUGUAACGGGAGCCUAUUUUGAGCUUUAGAAAUCUAUCGCUGUUCAUUUUCUUAAAACUGUUUUUUUUUUUAUAUUAUAUAUAUAUAUUAUAUUCAUUUUUCUUUUUAAAUUUAACCAUAUAAAUUGUUUUUAAAAUAAAAAUACAUUUUAUUUAACUUAAGAUUACAAUUAUAAAAAAGAAAAGAAAAAAAAAGAAACGGAAGUGUGAUUGGCAAGCAAUGCAACUCUGAUAAUCAUGAUCUAUUUUACAUUAAUGCAUUGUUUAAUUCUUUUGAUAUAAAUAAAACAUUAAUACGAAUGCAAACAUGAAGAGGUUUAUAGUUAAACGAAAAAAGAAUGAACUCAACAAAUAAAUGCUUUCAGUUCGAAAAUACAAAAUUAAUUGAAAAUAAAGAAACAAAGUCAAAAUAACAAAGAAAAUAACUUAAAACGAAAACACAAUUUAAACAAUUUAAAAAUUUAGCAGACCAUGUUUAUAUUUACAGAGAAAACAAAUAAAAUAACAGAAAUUAACAAAACAAAUAUGUAGCUCUAGAUAGAAAAGAGCGAGAACAUUUUAAAAUGAAAACAAAAUCGAUAUAAACCAAGACAUUACAAUUUUAUGUUAUAUUAUAUAUUUAUCGAAGUAGCGAAGAUGAAAAAAGCGAUAUACAAAAAAGAGAAUGAGCCAGCAAAGUGACGCAAAUAAAUAGAAAAAAGAAUAUAUAAUAAAAAAAAAUUCCACACGAGAAAAA